rnacentral:lncRNA from 1 species
CUGUUUUCACAUGGUCUUUCUAUUGGCGUUUUAGGGCAACAGGACCAUCUGCAGGAUUCCCAGCAGUCAAGACCCAGCUGCCCCCUGUCUCCUGUCAUUGGUCAAGGAGAUGAGCAGCAGGAAAGAGCAGAAAAGGAGCUUUAAUCAGCAGGCCAUGCUGGGAAGUGCAAAGAAUUCCAAGAUCUGUCUUCGAGAAGUUGAUAGAAAUGUAGGGAUUCAUGGAAAAGGGGAACAAAGUUUCAUGCCACUUUACUGGGAAGAAACUGGGCUUGAACCUGAACCCGCGCCAUAUUUCUUGUGGAAAACUACUGCAUCGCUUUGAAAUGCAAUCUU